CCGGCGCACGGGUGAGUAACGCGUAUGCAACUUGCCUAUCAGAGGGGGAUAACCCGGCGAAAGUCGGACUAAUACCGCAUGAAGCAGGGGCCCCGCAUGGGGAUAUUUGCUAAAGAUUCAUCGCUGAUAGAUAGGCAUGCGUUCCAUUAGGCAGUAGGCGGGGUAACGGCCCACCAAACCGACGAUGGAUAGGGGUUCUGAGAGGAAGGUCCCCCACAUUGGUACUGAGACACGGACCAA
rnacentral:rRNA from 1 species